UGAUGGCUUCUUUGUUUCGGUA
rnacentral:siRNA from 1 species